rnacentral:lncRNA from 1 species
AUGCAUACCAAAAAACAAGUAUAGAUUUUCCUGUGGUAAUUUCACUGAAGUACAGGGCAGGGAGCAAAAUCCUUACCUUGGAGUUGCCGUCCCAGGCAAGCAGCGCUGUCGGAGCUAGCUGCCCUAGGAGCUGGGCUGCAUGGCAAUGCCACAGCCAGCCAUGCUUUGUGUGAGUGCCCUAAUUGGAAGUGCCAGGUCUCAUCCAUCCAGCAAAGCGUGCAGCGAGCAGAGUUGCCUGCCUGGGCUCGGAACUGUCCUACUACGCUCCUGGCUGAGAAAGGAACUGUAAUCACACCCCUACAAUAUAGGCAACUGCUUGAGGAAAGCUGGAGGAGAGUCUUCUUCGAAAAUGUUAUGAGGAUAGACUCUUCUUUCCAAUAACAGCUAUCCAUGGGC